UUGCAACAAUAUUAAACCUAAGUGCUUGUGAUUUAGGAGUGAAGCGCUGCUGCCCUCUCCCUGGCGGUGUCACGUGUCCUUUCCGGAACCCUAGAGGCGGAAAUCUCCGAAAGUAGCCGAUCGUCCGGCUGUGCGGACUGAGGACGAAGGACAGAAGAAGGGAGGAAAGAAAAAAAACAUUUACACCUUGAGGAGGAGCCCAGUCCUUCCCGGAGUUACAAGAAGAUCAACAUCGACAAACACGAACAGCUCUUUACAUACCCUCCUGUUGCAACACGUCCAGGAGUGCUGAGGCCAAUUGUAGCACUUCAGCUGCCACCUCAGUUGACGUCAGCUAACUGAGUACAGAUCAGGGAUGGGAACUUUUGGUCUGUGUGGAUUUCUCAACGAAUAGGGGCUCCACAUGCAGUGCCACAUGAAAUGAAUAAAGGGCCCCAGCCUAUUGGAGGACCUCCAGCUGCCCCACAUCCCUCCCCUUCUGGGAUUUCUCA